AGCAGUAGCCGCGGGAAUACAGAGGAUGCAAGCGUUAUCCGGAAUGAUUGGGCGUAAAGCGUCUGUAGGUGGCUUUUCAAGUCCGCCGUCAAAUCCCAGGGCUCAACCCUGGACAGGCGGUGGAAACUACCAAGCUAGAGUACGGUAGGGGCAGAGGGAAUUUCCGGUGGAGCGGUGAAAUGCGUUGAGAUCGAAAAGAACACCAACGACGAAAGCACUCUGCUGGGUCGACACUGACACUGAGAGACGAAAGCUAGGGGAGCAAAUGGGAUUAGAUACCCCUGUAGUCCCUGUCUCUUAUAC
rnacentral:rRNA from 1 species